UUUUUUUUUUUUUUUUUUUGGUUUUUAAUCGACUAAUUUUCUCUUUAAAGCUCCUAAAUAGCUGAAAUUGCUUCAGCCAGUCUAGUCCGGAUACUAGAAUUCUCCGGUGAAGGCUUGGUCCCUUAUCAUACUGGUUGAAACUUGAAUAAAUUAGUCUGUCUUGACUCUUGAGCAUUAGACGUAGUAUUCAAUCCUUCUCCUCGCCUUGCCGGCUUCAGAGUAAAUAUUCAACGAUGCACUCCCCACAUCCCUAGACAAUGACUGGGAGUUUUGAUUCAACGAUUAGCUUUUGACUAGUCCUUUUGGUCUAAUCUCACAAGGCCGGGCAAGCCACUAGUGUUGUUUCCUUGCUACUAUGGUCGUUGGUCUAUAAAAUGUUACUCCUAUUCAAUAAUAAUUCAAGGAGUAUUAUUGUUUGAUUGUUGUGAAACGGUCCAAAAAUCUCCACAUUCCCAAUUGAUACGGCACUCAGAAAGGACUGGUAAUUCAGAGACAUCCCAGUUCGCAAUGAACCUGUUAAAUUGGGAAUGCGUACGGCAACAAUUGAGAAAAAAAAAAAGUUACUGUAAAUUGUUCAGAAAGCAAUAAUUGCUUCUGUAACUAUUCAUUGGUAUAUAUCUUUUACUUAAUUACCUGUUAAAAGUACUACCAAAGAUGGACAUAAUGACUGGUUCUCUUUCGCAUUUUCUUUUUUCGCUCUCAUUUGCUUAUCCUUUUCAAUCUCUAACCAAAAAAAAAAGAUGUCCUAAAAUCUUGCCUCAGUUUUUACCAGUUUUCCACGUCCCAAGGAGCAUCAUGUUGAUAAUUUUUUUUUUCUGUAUUAAGACAAAAUUUAAAUGUUAACAUCAGGCGAUUAGAUAAAUCAAGCCGGCCGUGGGAUCUUUACUUUAUAAAGUAUUUUUUUUUGUAUAUAAAUAAAAUUUUUAAAAAAGUGCACGAACCGAACCGCGUUGCAAAUCUGAGCGCCAAUUGUUAUGAGAAUUUUUACACUAAAGGCAAAAAAAUUUACAAGCCCAAUUUUCCAUGGAAGAUAUACAGUAGUAGUAAAUUCGUAGAAUAUAUAUAUACACACACACACCACGAGAGGGAUUGAUAAUGCCAACAAUAUUGUCUUGACCCGAUUAAGAUUGGACAAAAGCAAGAGAGCGAGAUUCAUUCUGGUAUAUGUAUAUACUCUAUACAAAUCAACAUCCAAACGGACAAAAGUAACAAAGGAGUGAGACGAGACUCCAAAAAAUCAGACAAAAGUAAAUUGGAUGAGUGGUAAUUAAUGGAUGUCGAUUUAUCUCCAUCUUGAAAUUUAUCGUUGAAUGACUCUGCAUUAAUUACCUGAAAACAACCACGACAUUUUAUCAUAUAUAGAUGGAAUUAAUAAUCUGACGGAAAUGAAAUUACAGUCAGGGCACUAAUCCUUUCUUGCUCCACCGGCUGCUCUACCGCCCGUCAUUCUCCUCGUGGAUUUGUCCAUUGCGUACCCCUCAUUAUCAGUCUCUUCUUCUUCCUCACCAUCAGUUUCGUCGUCAACGACCUUGUUAACUAUUUUGAUCUCCUUCUUCCGUAUCCCAAUGCCCCACUUUAGCCAAUCCGCAACGUCCAUCAUGAGAGGUCUGUUCUCCGGAUUUCCAUCGGUGCAUCUCAUGGCAAUCAUCACCGCCGCUUUUAACUGGGAGCGAUCAAGUUUUCCCUUCAACCUGGGAUCACCAAUUAGAUCGAAUGCACCCUUUUGCACCAAGGGUGUAACCCACUGCACUAUGUCCCGCUUAACCCCGCCCGGCAGCUUCUCCAGUGGCUUUCUACCGCUUAUGAUUUCCAGAAGUAAUAUUCCGAAGCUAUACACAUCACAGCUCUCCGAAACCUUCCCCCACAUGGCGUAUUCUGGAGCCAAAUAUCCUAAUGUUCCCUUCACUCUCGUAGUCAGGUGCGUCACCCCGUCCGGGAUUAGCUUAGCAAAACCAAAAUCAGCAACCUUCGGUACGAAUUCCGAAUCCAGAAGUACAUUGCUGGCCUUUAUGUCUCUGUGUAUUAUGUGCGGAUUUGCUUCGUGGUGCAAAUACCUUCCAAAGAAACAAAAUAAAAAGGUGAAACUACAGAACAUUUUAGCAAUACAAGUAAGCUCUACAGAACAUUUUAGCAAUCUUUCUCCACAAAGUCAGUCGAUCGAUUUGGGUACCAAGUGUACAACAAUAGACUCUACAUGCAUCUUUUUUUUUUUUUGGAUGCAUAUGUACAUAUUUACUGUUGAAACUUCAAAGAGAAAAUUGAAAGCUGGAAAGCGAAAAUGUGCACAAGGAAUAAUAGCAAAAGGAUAUAGUAAUUCAGAUCAAGAUGGGAAAAAACUAAAAAAUCGGGAAUAAUCACUAAAAGAAAUUAAAGAUAUUAGAUCCACGUACGCUAGUCCCUCAGCCGAUCCAGUUGCAAUACUCAUUCGUCGUGACCAAUCAAGAAGGCAAUCGGCAGCGAGUUGACCGUGUAGAUGAGUGAUCAAGCUAUGGUUAGGCAUGUAAUCAUAUACGAUCAACCUUUCAUCGUCUCCAGCAUAAAAUCCCCUUAGGCCUAACAAAUUCUUAUGUCUCACUCUGCCAAGUAUCUCUACUUCCACUGCAAACUCCAUUUCCGCUUUUGCACUCAAGGUCUUUAGCCGUUUCACUGCUAUCUGCGACCAUCAAUAAAAUCCAAUUCAGCCUUUAGAGCCCCUCAAAAGGGGAAAAAAAAAGAAAGAAAAUAUCAGGGUGUUGGGGCCGGGGAAGAAAAACAAGAAUAGAAAGAAGAGUGAGAUAAAACAUGAUUGCCUCGACGCCUUUACUUGUUCGACCCCGGUAAACGCUUCCGAACCCGCCUUCGCCAAUCUUGUUAUCAUUAUGAAAGUUGUUGGUUGCAUUUACAAUCUGCUUGAGGGUGUAUACUUCCCAUGGAUAAUCCCUUUUCUUGUUAGCGCUGAGAUCAAGCCAUAAAGGAUAAACAAAUUAAAGACGAUACAAAGUGUUUUUAUUGGAGCUCUUAUGUACAGUAUAGAUGGUAAGCCGAUCGAACAUGGAAUGAGAUCUAACCUGGAGUUUGUUGAUGGAUCAUUUUCAGAUGAGAAGCAAAAGCAUCUCAAGAGCAUGCUCUUGCCCAUUGCCAGUGCUGAUGAAAAAGAGGGCGUUAGAGAUAUUGACGUAUUAAGGCGAAAGGAAAAGCAGCAAGCAGCAAGGCCAAGGAGGAGGCGAAAACUUUCUCGGAUAUAACAAUGCAAAGUGGAACUGUGGAAGGAGUAUUGUGGUGAAGACAAAAGGCAGUCGUUCAUGUCAAGCUUUCUGGAGAUUAAUAUGUAUAUGAAUUUUAUCCUGUAGCUGGAGUUUUUCUAUUGUCGUGCCUGAUUCUUAUAGUAGAGUAUAUUUUUCUUAUUUUGACUUUUUCUUCAUAUCAAAUGCGUUACAGGUAGUUUCCUGUUGAAGGUGGUGGGGAAAAAUAAAUUAAAAAAACACCACAGGACACCAUUUACGGCAGCUUGUGGAGCUUAGGAGAAGUGUGUUAAAUAUGACUGGGUAGACGAAAUUCAUCAAUCAGUAGUAUUACAUAUAAGAAUUGUUUGGGAAAGUAUAACGAGUAUUUACAAUACAGUCUGCUCAGUCAGUGUUGUGUAGAUGAUUGAUUAGUGUCAAUUAAGCCAAAAAUACCGAGUGUGUAUCUGGAUUAUACCUGACAAUUGGGUGGAUUUUUGGCCGGUUAAUAUUGGGUUUUCACUUAAAUGGAUAAUACCCAACUCAUCCAACUUUAAAUUGGGUUAAUUUUGGGUGGAGUUAUAUUGGGUCAUCCAUGACCAAAAUAUGACCCAAUAUAUUAAUUAAUAGAUUUUAAUACAUAAAUUCUCUCAAAUACAUUUUUACAUUAAAAAAAAAAUUUCACACACUAAAACACUUUCACAAAUACAAACACACGCUCUCUUCUUAAGCUCUUUAGAAAUAUAUUAUUAUUUUUACACACUAACAUACUUUCACAAAUACACACACAUACUAACUGCUUAAAUUGUUUGGACGAACUCAUUACUUUUUAUACAAGUAAGAUUUUCUAAAGGGAUAGUGGAUAUAGCUUUGGUCCAAACUCCAAACUCAGAGUCAGAAACAAAAAUUUUGGUCCAAGUUGGAUAUAACAUGAAAAAGUGAUACACCAAUAUACGAUUUUCCAAGUCUUGUUACUUGAUUAAACAUUAAUUAUACCAAAUAUAUUUCUAGUCUCAUAAAAGAUCAAAUCACGUCUUAAUUAAACUGAAAUUUUGAUGAGAGAGAUACGAUUUUCAACCAAUUAGUUCAAAUAUCACUACCCAAUUCAUUUGAAAAUUUUUGGGAAAAAUUAACGCAGCAUUAAAACAGAUCCAACGACACUUCAACCAUCCACCAGUCACCAAUAAAGCACAUUCCAAUGUCUUCCGUCCUACAAAAUUUUUUUUCGCACUACAGUCAUGGAAUAAGAAUACAAUGUUGCAUACAGACCAUCCGCCAAUGCACAAAAUGCUAACAAGGCUACAAUUCGAGUAGAAGAUGUAUAUACUAUGCAUGCUUCUCGUUAACUCUGACGUAUUCUUUUGAAAUGGAACAGCAACUCUUCAAGUGCCGAGUUCAAUUUAUAACUCAUGCACUCAAAAAUAAAAAUAAUAAAAUGCUUGUGGAAUAUGGGAUAGUUGACCGAUCGAUCAGACAAACUAAAAGGUUCGGUUUCCCACAGGCUUCCAUUUUUUUUUUUUUUUUUAAACUACUGGGCCAGAGGUGAGAUUUAAAAAUUGGGAAAGGAGAAACGAGUAUUUGAAUUUAUGACCCCUAAGUUUUGGGGCUUUACCACAGCUCUCUGUUUAUGAAAGUACAAAAAAAAGAAAAAAGAAAAUUUUCAAUAUAUUUUCUUGAUAAUGGGUUCAAUCAAAGUUGAAACAAAUGAAGGAUAUUAAUUCUUGAGAAACUUCGAAAGCUUUUUUCAAACUUCGAAUUUUGUCACGGAAAUAUUACAUGACUUGUGGCUGCGGGAUUACAUUUUAAGAAGUCCUGCAGAAAGAAGCACUCGAAAAGUAUGCUAAAACUUUGACCCUCUAAUUGAGUAAUUUAUAUAUAUUCUGAUGACAAUUGGAUAAUUUUCUGAAAAUGGACCCGAAUUGCCUCUAGCAUUUGUGGUCUAGCCGCACUCUAGUCAUCAUCGAUUCACUAAAGAGAUUUUCCUUGAACACAUUUCUAUUUUCUAAGAAAAAUUUUAAUAUUUUUCGUAAAUAUAUUUUUUAUUUAUAUUUUUAUUACAUAUACAUCAAAUUGAUAUAAUACAUUUUUUUUUUUCAAAAUUCCAAAAAAUAACAAUGCAAAUGAUAGCAACUAAGGAGAUUGAGUUACGUAUUGUUGCGUUGGCUCUUAGUGGGCUCUUAAGUUGGGUCUCUACCCAAAUUCUUGACGGGGUCAGUUUCGGGUACUUUUGAUUCCUUUUUUUUAAAAAAAAUAUGUAUAUAUUUACCGGGCUUGGGCCAAUUGGUAAAAGAUUGUACAUACUCUUUCGAGUUCUACUCCGUUUCGGAUGGACGGGAUGUUGAUUUCGUUAUGGUAUGGUCGGCUUUCGAGCUUUUAUGCUUGUACACGUUUGGCCCUUCAACUAUUAUGCUGUCUUGUAUUGCCCUCUAAAUUUUGAAAAUAAAAAAUUUAAAACCCAGCAGUCAAAACUAAUAAAUUUAGAUUAGAUUUAUGCUCAAUGCACAAUUAUAUUUGAUCCAAGAGCUUUCUUUUUACGUAAAAAAAGAGAGAGUCACAAUACGAGGUCUUAAUUCAACACAAAUUUGACCAAAAUAAAACACAUUCUAAUGUCCUCAUGAUAUGAAUAGUUCAUUGAUACAAAGUAUUAAAGAUUUGGACGCCGUUUAGGCCUUGAAAUAGUUGAAAAAAAAAGUCACUGUAGUGAAAAGUUGUGCCUUUGGAAUUUUGAAAAUUACAUGCUAAAUUCCUUGUCCAUUUGAACUCUAAUAGGUUUAACAAACAUAUUUGUAUAAGAUUCCAAAGAUUUGGUAUCAUAUUAGUAAAUAUAGCGUAAAAGUGUCAGAUUUGACAUCCAAUCUAGCUAUUUAAUGAAAUUCAGAGAGGAUCAAAUUCAACAGCUACUCUAAGUAGUAGUAAGUAGUAACAAACAAUAGGCGGUCAGACAUAAUAGGAAUGGGGACAAGGGGCACGGACGGUUGCACCUGCAACCGUUCCGGACGAUUUUGCUCAUUUUUAACUGCGCGUAACUUUCUUUGUACAUCGCGUAACUUUUUUUGCACAUCGCGUAACUUUAGAGCAAAUUUUUGUGGAUCCCACACAUGGCGUGGAAAUCGAGUUACAACUUGUGAUCUCAACCGCACAAAUUUUUGAGGCCAGAUCAUGGCCAUUAACCGUUCAAGGACGGUCAUACUGAUGACCGUCCCUGCCCCAUUUCCUAGGAAUGGGGAGCUCCGUGUCAAAAUAACCUCAUUUUGAGGUUAAAAAAAAGAAGUUAAAUUAGAAUCCAUUCGUAGAACAUUAAAAAUUAUGCACCUUUGUCCUUCAAUAACCUACAAGUAGUUUGCACAUAGUAAGCCAAUAUAUUACACCUUUACAUCUUAUUAUACAUGAAUUCUGAGAAUCCUUAGUUUUCAUUUUAAAGCAAAGGAGGGAUGUAAUUUAAAAGACGGGUAAGAAUAAAGGAAUUUGAACCAAUACGCUUUAUAUACAUAUAUAUAUAUAUAUGUGCGCGCGCACACACACAAGAACGCACAAGAAAUGAAAUGCGAAUGUUUUACACCGUUAUUUCCUUAGUUUGUUUCCCCACAAAAUGCAGAAAAAAGAAAAAAAAAAAAAGAGGGAAAGGAAAGUCCUUUCCUGGCUUGAGGAUGUCCAAAACUAUGAUCAAGCGUUAUAUCAGUUGUGCAGGAUGCUACCACAUGUUGCUAUAAAGAUCUGUCACACAAAGAUGCUUGAAAACCAAGAAGAAGUAAAGUUUGCCAAAUUAAGUACAUCUCCCAUCAGGAGCCUUACUUGGAGGAAACAUGCAUGGGCAUACAUCUCUAUAAUUAGAGCAAAUGCAAUUCCGAAGCAAGCGAGCCUAGCCAAACAGAUGUAAUUAAGACAGUUCCAAACAAGAAGAAUUUGAAGAAUAUGGCAUCCAACCAAAUCCACCGGCCACCGAGAUUAUGAAAGAUGCGAGAAUGUUAGUAUAUUUUGUAUAUCAGCUACAAAUUAAGGUGCUUAGACCGAAAUUGUAGCAAAAGGAAAAGCCAAUUUAAGUUGUUUGGCACCUGAGAAGCAAGAGCCCAGCGUAAAACCGGAUUGCGCUAUGACAAAGUGGUGAUAUUCUCACGCAAUAUUUAGAAUAGCGACUAGAACCGUCCUUCUUCAUCAUGUCCAGAAAAUUCUUGCUCUAGGCCAUGAAAUUAAUGAGCAUAAAUCAUAAAACUCAGAGUUUAUUUCAUAAUAAUAUGUAUACACUAUCUAGAUUAAUUACAUGAUAUAUAUAUAUAUAUAUAUAUAUGUGUGUGUGUAAAAUAUAGAUUUCAAAUUAAUUAUCAAGCAUAUAUACAAUUAGCAUAUAGAAUAUUAAUCCUAAAACUUCACGUUUAACCACAAGAAAGAUGUGUUGAGCAAAAUACACGGCUCACCAACACAAGCUUAGCAAAACCAACAUACAUACCAUGCAUCUAGUAUCUACACAUGACCUUUCUGCAUUCAACGUUUCUUUGUAAAUUUUGUAGAAACUUGCUGAAGCACUAUAAAUUGCUUAAUUAUAUGGGCAAUCAACAUGGUAAGUUAUGAGUGAGAUUUAGAAAAAGUGAACUUAGGCUGUAUUAAAUCAUGAAGCUUAUUUCAAUUUUCAGAAUCCUAACUCCUUUAAAAUAAAGUGUCGUAAAGGAUUUGUAUUUGCCCACAACUCUUUGCCAAUCAAUAAACGACCUAAACUUAUUCAAAAUCCCUCUCUUCUGCAAAUAAAUGGUUCCAUUUUGCUCGAACCUUCAAAUACUUGGGGGUUCUCAAGCUAAAUAAUGCACGAGAAUUGAAGUAGCUUAAUGUAGCAUGAUGUUUUUGGUCCUCACUUAUCAGGAACGGUUUAGUUAUAUACCAAAAGAACAAAUGCAUCUGUUCUAAUAUGAUUCACCUCUUUGUAUUGCGAAAAGAUACUCUCUCAAGCGUCAAAGAAAGGCACAACCUGAACAACUUUAUCUUAUCAUGCAUGAAGCAGCACAACUUCCAGCAUGCAUACAGCUUAUGCCAGUGUGGGAAAAUGUCUAAUCAUCACCUUGGAACAAAUAACAAGUAUUUUUUCUAACUCAUAUGCAAAUUAUAGUUGAUAUACAAUUUUCCGUGAAAGUCUAUCUUGUUUGACAACCCUAAUUUUCCAUGACACUGCAUCAGUAAUUAAACGUAGACAAGCGGGAGGAUACUUAUAAAUGAUGGAUAGUAGGAUAUGCAAUGAACAUCAAAUAAGUUGAGAACCAAUUUCCAUUAAACUUUUCUGGCAUAUUCGAUCUUGUUGGGAAUGUCAGAAAUUUGUACCAUACGAAAUGCUUAUUCAUAUUCUAAACCUGUAUAUUCAACUGGAACUGUGUAGAUUAAAAAAAAAAAAAGGGAACUAAGUUUGUGAUUAGCUUCCGUCAAUUCUAUUCAACUGUGAUUAGAAAAUUCUGUAGUCUAAACUGUGUCAUUAAGUUGACAUAUUUGCCUUGAUUAACUUGAGCACGCUGAUAACGUAUCAUCUCCUGAACAAAUCCAAUGCACUUAAUCUGUAUUUGACAUGGCAACAUAACAAAUUGCUGACACUUCGCAUUAAGCAGAAUGAAUUUCUUUGUUAUGUAUUUAUCAAGCUUCCAUGAUUACUGAUAAAUGUAUAACAAAGCGUAAAUGCGUGCACCAAUAAUUAGAUCGACUCAAAAUAUGGAAGGGAAAGAACGGUGAAAUUCAUAUCAUCUCAUCUUGCACAGCACAAUCUACCAGAUUUAGCGUAUUAAAAGGCAAAUGUUAGAAGAGGCCAAAUACGGUAGAGUGUGAUAAGCAAGAAGACAUCAUACAUCAUGGUCAUGGCCAAAGACAGGCUUUGAAUUUCAAUAGAAAAGAAUCUGGAUUUCAAAAUAACCAGUCCAUGAAACUCUUUUUUUUUUCUUCUUUUUAAUAGCGGAUGUAAACUAACCUAAUACCGAGUUUUCAUUUUACUAAAUGAGAACCUUACAAAAAGCAGGCAGGAAACUUGAAAUCUUCAGAAACCUCUAACUCUUGAAGCCUUGUAAAUUCUGUGCUCAUAUAACAUGAGUACCAAUUCUGGUAUUGCACCAGGGCUAGAAGUUAGAAGUUUUUCCUAGUCAUGACUUUUUCAGUCAGCUUUUGUUGCAGAAAGAUUAUAUCAACGUCCAUAUGACUGGCCUGCAAGAUUAUGAUACAAACCAUGCGAAUCAAAAGGAGGCACACCAGUUAUUUCUGUGGAAUUCAUUUCGCUAAUUCAUCAUAACUGUACCUCAGUUUGGAUUGUGUAAAGAAAAUUUUCAUCGACUUUUGUGCAGACACAGUUUACAACAUUAAGACCCUCGUCAAGCAGCAUAUCCAGUACCCUUGAUAGAGGAAAACAGUUACCUGCCAAAUCAUUCUUCAUCAGAAUCUCGAUACCACCACUCUCGCAUUGCUUGACUGUGAACGUAGUAGACGAGGAGUUUGUUUCCUCAACACUUUUGACGUUCAGAUCGCUCGAUCCACCCAUCAAAUUUCUAAGCUUGUCCCUCUUUACCUUCAAUUCCCUAAUAUUCUUUUCCUUGUGUGUUAUAUAGUUAACUGCCUGAUGAACUUGAUCAGACAUUGAACGCUUUCCCUGAAAAAAAAAAUUGUGAGCAAAUCUUGAUGUCUUACAGUACAACUAAACUAGCACCAAAAAAAAAAAAAAAAGAAAGGAGUUAUUGUUGUAUUUUGUUGAACAGGAAAAAAUUGAAGGAAUAUUUGUAAAAGACGAAAAAAAAUGGGUUUAAGUACGUAUGAUCCUACCGAGCAAAUGCCAGAAGGGAACACUAGAUGAAGAUGAUCUUUCACUUGUGAUUAUGCAUAAAAUGUGAGAAUUCACCCAUUAAUUGAUCAGCUAGUACGGUUCAAUCACCUUUAUGUAUUCAAGAGGAAGUAGAUUCCUGAGAGAAGCAUAAAGAUUAGCCAUUUCUUGCCUCCUUAGACGCUCAACAUCCCUAUGAGCUGCUCUUUUCUGCUUGCUGUCAUCAGGAUCAUUGUUAUCAGCUGGAAUAGCUGAUGAUGGUUUUUUUCGCUGCCUUCCCCUGGGGUGGUGGUUGUUAUUGUCAUCGUCAUCGAUGCUGGUCACCUGAUCGUAAUGCUGCUGUUGAUGGGGAGCAAGUGAAGAUGCAGCCUGAUUUCCCAGAUCUUGAUGAUGGAUAGUGUCGUCUAGGUAAGGAUGAAUGGUAGGGACUGUGAGGUCAUAUGGAAAAAGCUGGGAAUCAUCAUCGUCUUGUUGUAAAGGAAUCAAAGAGGAAGUAAAGUCAUCCAUGUUCAGACAACUGCUCGAUUUCUUGGGUUGAUAUCUUCUGAUGAUAUGAUGAAGAUGCCAAACUAGGGAUACGUUUGUUAGGGUAAUUUGGUAUGAUGAGAUCCCUUAAAUGGGCCGAGGAUGCGCAGAUAUCUGCCAUAUCUUCUUAAACUAAUACAGAAUAGGAGUGACUAGUGACCCUUUCCCUCUCUGAUAGGGGGCCAUUAAAAAAAAAAAAAAAAGAAGCUCGCUUGGUUACUGUACGUCUGCACAACAAAAUUUCACAGCUGAGUUCACACCAGCGGGUCCAACUUCUCACCUACAAUCAUAUACACUAAACCAAAAAAAAAAAAAAAAGCACUAAUAUAAUAAACUUUAAUUGUCUCGUGGUCUUUGUGAGGUAGGGAUGAAUGGUAGGGAUUGUGAGGUCAUAUGGAAAAAGCUGGUCAUCAUCGUCUUGUUGUAAAGGAAUCAAAGAGGAAGUAAAGUCAUCCAUGUUCAGACAACUGCUCGAUUUCUUGGGUUGAUAUCUUCUGAUGAUAUGAUGAAGAUGCCAAACUAGGAAUACGUUUGUUAGGGUAAUUUGGUAUGAUGAGAUCCCUUCAAUGGGCCGAGGAUGCGCAGAUAUCUGCCAUAUCCUUUUAAACUAAUAGGAGUGACUAGUGACCCUUUCCCUCUCUGAUAGGGGGCCAUUAAAAAAAAAAAAAAAAAAAAAAAAAAAAAAAAAAAGAAGCUUGCUUGGUUACUGUACGUCUGCACAACAAAAUUUCACAGCUGAGUUCACACCAGCGGGUCCAACUUCUCACCUACAAUCAUAUACACUAAACAAAAAAAAAAAAAAAAUGCACUAAUAUAAUAAACUUUAAUUGUCUCGUGGUCUUUGGAUAUCUUUUCAUCAAGUGACAUGAUCAUAAGGGAAGACUCUUGCUUCCUAUUCAGUAUUUUGAUUGAAUAAGAAGUAAACUUGACCUAAUAAUGCAUGGUAGAAGUACUACUACUGUUUUCCUUUUUUUUUUUUCGAGAAACGUUUUUCAGGUUUUCUUCUAAGAUUACGGAGGGGGAGACUUUGGUUAAUUAGGGUGUUUAUUUUAUUUUAUUUUGCAAUACUAAUUGGGCAGUUGCUGGAUCGAUGAUCGAUCACAAUGAUCUACAGAUUUUAAUUAUACUCUGACUUUUUCGUAGUCCUGUUCCGUUUAGGAGCGGAGGACUAUGGCGUAGUAAGAUCACAUGUUCGAAUUGAAAAACGUUUUUGUUUUUUAAUUAUUAUUUUCUGUUGUUUUUUUGUGUGAUGGGUUCAUAGGUCAAUGACUUGUGAUCAUAUUGCCAUCCUUUUUGGAGGGAAGGACAAAAUGAGUCACUUCUGGUUAUUCCUGGCUCCUUAUUGAGCGUCGGUAUAUUCAGCUACCUAAAGAAAAAGUUAAAAUUCCGUCCAAUUCACCCAAUAGUAGUGAAUCAGACCAGAGAAAAAACAAAAUAAUUGCAGUCAAAUGAUGGAGGUAUAGAUUCAAAGAUAUGGGCUGGCCCUUUUUUUUUUUUUUUUUUCUUCUGUGUCUUGUAUGCAAGUGCAUAAAUUUAAUUAUCAAUCGCCUCUUAUUCGAUUUAUGAUUUAUUAAGUGAAUAACAGAAGGGAAAGAAAUAUAAGUGAGAGACAAACAAUAUUUGAAUGUUUAUCAAUAUCUUCUAAUCAUAUGGUUUCAAGAGAACGUGUAUUCAUACAUGAUGAAUUAAUGGUGAGAAAUUACAUUGGUAUUUUCAAAAUUUUAAAUGGGAAAAAAAUGUCAUAUAUAUAUAUAUAUAUAUAUUUUUUAGCAAAAACGAAUAAAACUGCAUCAGAACUACAGGAUUACACAGAUAAGAGAAACUUUCGAUUCUUUUUAACAGAAAAUAAACAAAUAACUACUUACAUCUCGAAUUAAAAAGUGGAAAAAGAAAAGGCAAAAGUGGAACUACUAUACAUGAAAAUACCAAAUUAAUUUGGCAGGAGACAUAAACAGGACAUCUCUCGUUUGCUUCAACCCUUCACUUAUUAGUACAAAGCAAUUCUGUGGGUCCACGAGGGAGGCAGAGGGGGACGCUGUGCCCUCCCCCAAACUUGGGGCCUGUUUGGAACCUGAGUUUUUUGGGAGUUUGUCUAAAACUUUACUGUAGUGCACUGUAGAAGUUUUUGAAAAAAUUUUGUAGAAGUUUUUAUAAGAUGUGAAAAUUUUUUUUGUAAGGUGCAAAAUUUUGUAGAAAUUUUUGUAGAGUGAAAAACUUUUUUUUCCUUUUUUUUUUCUUCUUCUUUCUUUUUCUUUUCUUUCUUUCCUUUUUCUUUUCUUUCCUCUCUUUUCCUUCUUCUUCUUCUUCUUCUUUCUUUCUUUCCUCCCCGUUACCUCCCAGCAGCAGUCACACUCGCCACCCCUCUCCUCCCUUUCCCCUUCUCCUCCCGCCACCGUGACCUCCUCCCCCCGCCACCCCCUGUGCCCCUUCUCCUCCCGCCACCGCGACCCCCUCCCCCCCGCCACCCCCUAUGCCCCUUCCCCCUCUGCCACCGUGACCCCUUCCCCCCGCCAGCCCCCUGCCUAGGGGUGCAAACGAGCCGAGUCGAGUCGAGUUUUAAAAUUAUCGAGUCGAGUUAGACUAAUUUAUAUGCAAGCUCGAGUUCGAGCUCGAGCUCGGCUCGAUUUAAGAAAAGGCAAGUUCGAGAUCGACUCGCUUAUGACUCGCGAGCUUAGCUCGAAUUAUGGCUCGCGAGCAGCUCGAUUUUCUGGCUCGCAUUUCGCUCGAAUUUAGCUCGAUUUCUAGUUCGAACUCGAGCUCGAAAUUAGCUCGAGUUUUUGGAAAUUUAGGCAAGAAAAUAGCAUUUUUAUCCGUGUGGAGUUUUAGUCCUUAAAAUAUCAACAAACGCAAUUCUAAUCCCCAAAUAUCCAAUUUGAAACAAUUUAGGAUAAUUGAAGGAUUUUUUUCCAAUUUUUUUUUAUGGAAUUUAGUCAUCAACAAUUAGAAAUGGCAAUUUGAAUCCAUAUCCACUUAUCCAUCCUAAUAAACAAGUUUAAAUAAAUAUGGAUGACCAUUUAAAUAAAUUAUAUUUAUAGAUUUGAGUUGUUUAUCUAUAUCCAUAUAAAUCAAUUUAUCAGAAAUGGAAUGCAACCAACCAAGGUGGAAGAGAGACUCGUCUUGAUUUGACACAAAUGAUCACAAUUUUCGGCCAUUUCACCUUUGCACCAUAGUUUAAAAAGCUCAAGUCUAAUGUUUGUUUCUGGAUUUAAAAAAUAAAUAAAUAAAACUUACAUACUCCGUUCUCACUAGAACCCCCAAAUUAAGCACAUUCCAAUCAAGAACGGCUCUCUCUUUCAGUUAAAUCAUGAUUAGAAAUAUAAUCCAAAGUCCUUUAUUAACAUUACACUACUGCAAAUAACACACAAAUUUUAGUACAAAAUCCACGAAAAGAAAGCAGAAUUUGCGCUAACAAGGAAUUCACACUUUACCGUCACUGUGAUAUCAUUAAUGCUGUUCUCUGUGGCAGAUCUAGCACUGAUUGUGCUGAAAGAUGAAGACUUUAACAGAAUCCCUGAAAGAAUAGGAGAUAGAAGAGAAAAUCCAUAUCGGAAAAAUGCUGAUUUUGAUGAUCCAAAGUUGGUUCAGAGUUUGAAGUGCAUUUCAGCUUAUUAGCUUAAGAAAGAAAGUCUCUGUAAAAGGGCCGAAUAAAGCUCAAACUUUGCUGGAAAAAAACACUAACCAGGUAAGCUCUGAAAGCCGACUGAAUCCUAAUAGCCGCCACUUCUUGCCGCCAGUCUCUGCCACUGCUGCCCGGAGGAGUAAAGGAAACAGUUCCAGCCUGAUGACCUCUGCAGCUGCCUGAGCGGCAGCAAGAGCAGCCUCGGCGACGGCGGCGGUGGCAGCCGCACGGCUAUGGCGUGUUCGUCGUAGGACCAUCUAAGGCCACCGCCACCAGCAUUUAAGGUCUUGUUGUCAUAGUUGGAGGAAAUGGAAGAUUUGAUGAGACACGGCGGCGGAGGAGGAAGUUCAAUUGGAGGAAGUGAGGAAGGAAAAUUAUGUAACCUAAUAGAAGAAGUGAGAAACAGAAUAAGUUGUAAAUUUUAAUUGAUUCAGGGGUAUUUUUAUAAUUUCACAUUUACUCGAGCCUAACGAGCAGCUCGUCGAGCUAUCGAGCCUAAGAAACGAAGGCUCGAGCUCGCCUCGUUUGUAUUAACAAACGGCUCGAGCUCGGCUCGAGCUCGUGUUGACCGAGCUCGAGCCGAGCUUUGACUCGAGCUGCUCGCGAGCUGCUUGCGAGCAGCUCGAGUCGUCAGCAGGCCUACCCCUGCCAUUUCCCCCCGCCACCCCCUGCCCUUUCCUCUGCCAGCAUGACCCCCGCCACCCCCUGCCCUUUUCCCCAUCCUCUGCCUUUUCGCCAGCUUCUCCCUCCACUCUCCCUCCCCCCGCCCAUCCCCUGCCCUUUCCCCAACUUCUCCCGCCACCUCCCCUGCGCAACCCCCUCCCCUGUCCUUUCCCUAGUGCGACCCCCUCCUCCCGCCACCCCGCGGACGGCGCUAAAAUAGUCCCCAGGUUUCCGGCAAAAAGCAUCGAGGAAUUUACGGAACUUGGAACGCUUAGUCGAGGAGAAUUUGCUCUUCUGCAUCCAAUUGAAUAAGGAAACCAUCACGUUGAAUUUGAUGUCAAAUUCCUCCAUUCUGGACUUUUUUGCUUUUUCUGGGCUAUGAUUUUGCUUGUUCGUUUCUUGGGGUUCUAUUAGGGGUGGCAAUUCGGGUCCAAAUCAGGUUGGCGGUUCGGGUUCGGGUCAACCCGUCAGAAAAUCUGUUGACCUGAACCCGACCCGCCAACCCGCGACGGGUCAGGUAUGCUGACCCGAGCUCGAAAAUUUCAGGUUGGCGGGUUGGCGGGUCGACCCGAAAUGACCCGAAACUUAAUUUUAAUUUAUUAAUUAAUCACUGUAAUUUCUAAUAAAAUCAAUUUCUCACAAAACUAAUUACAUAAUCAAGUAAUAAAAAUUUAAAUAAAUAAUUCCAAACCAAAUCUAAAAUAAAUUAAACACCGUAAAAGUGUUUUAUCCCAAACAAAAUAUAAAAUAAAUUAAAACAAUAUAAAAGUAAAAAAUAAUAUAUUAUAUUAUUUGUCCAAAUAUAAUAAUUUCAACUUCACACAAAUUAAAUAAAUUCAUUUAGGAUUAAGUAAUUAAUGCCUUUGAAAAAAAGAAUAACUUCGUUUAGUUAGAUAAAAUUAUUUUUAUGUUUAUUAAAUUAUUUUUAAUUCGUAAACGGGUCAUAUCGGGUCAUAUCAGGUCACCACGGGUUGACCCGAAAUCGAUCUGUUUUCUUUUCGGGUUCAUCGGGUCCAACCCGAUUUUGACCCGAAUUCCCGAAACCUCAACCCAAACCCAUUAAUUUCGUGUUAGGUUCGUGUCGUGUUUUCAGGUCGUGUCGAAAAUUGCCACCCCUAGGUUCUAUGUUCAUUUUUUGUGUUUGAAAAUGAAGGAUUUAAAAACCGUCUGAAAGGAGAAGGGGGCAGGGGAGGCAGAGGGGAAGAGGGGAGGGGGGAGGAAAAGAAAAAAAAAACUUUGUGUAUGGCCGAAACUGGCCGCCGGAAUAGUAACCGGUGCCUGAAGUGGUGGUGGAAGUGGUGGCCGGCGGCGGAGGAUGUGGUGGGUUGGAUGGGGGAGGAAAAAGAAAAAAAGUUUGAAGGGAAAGUUUUUUUGUGUAUUUUUUGAAGUGUGUAGGUAAAAAGUUUUGAGAAAUUUUUUAGGGUUCCUGUAGCAAAAGUUGUUAAAAAACUAGUAGGUAAAAAACUUGGGCAAAAAACUCACUUCCAAACAGGCCCUUGGUAUCGUCUCCCUUGUUUAAAAUUUAAAUACUCAAAGUACAGGUUGUUGGUGUCGUUUAACAAGAGGAUCUCAUCCAUUUUUAUAAAAAAAACCCAACAGUGGGGAAGUUGGAAGUGCAAAUGGCAGUGGGCAUUGAUACUAUAAUAAUGCCUUCAAUUAGUGAACGGAUUAGGCAGCUCGUUCCAUAUCUUCUGCCUGACAAGCAAAAUCGGGAACCCAUUGUUUAUGCUGGUUCAGGAUGAUUGAGCUCAUUAGGAAUAUUGGGGGGGAGGGCACAGCGUCCCCCUCUGCCUUCCCUCGUGGACACUUCACCAACCUGAGUUUUUAAUUCGCAUGCAGAGAAGCUUUUGCUUUUUAUCUUCUUAGUUUUUAUUUAUUAGUGGCUCUCUCAAAGAGGGGGUGGGGAGGGGGGGGUUUCUCUAAUUUUACUUUUUCGUUAUUUAGGAAUACUUUUCUGUGCCUAUGUUGAGCAUAUAUAUAUAUAUGAAGAUAUGGAUCAGUACGUCUAGAAUAUCAUCUUUUUCUAUGGCAUUCAUAAAAAGCUCACCUAUAUAUGAAUAUAUGAUACGUAACAAGUAUCCAUCAUCUUUGAUUUAUUGUAACAACAAACUAUAUAUAUAUAGCAUAUUUUACCAACUCAACCAGCUUUAGUCUAAUUAUUUUGAGGGCACACGUUAUGCUAUUCCAAGGUUCCAAUUCAGUAUUAAAAGGCCCCGGGUCUUAAAACUCAAUUUACUAGCUAGUAAUUCUUUAGACUUCGACUUCAGGAUUUGGCAGAAAAGAAUAAUUUAAAGUAAUUCUGGAGCUAGAAAUCCCUCUCCCUGAUAAUUUGCGGCUUCCAAAGUUUUCCCAUUGCCGAUUUGUCAGUCGGCCAAAACACCACGUCGGUCGUUCCAGGAGCGAAGGAAAGGAUUUUGAAAGGUGACAUAUAUAUAUAUAUAUCAUUACCAGUGGCAUACUUUUCUUGUCCAUGAUUAACGGUUUCCUGCCUCCGUCUGACUCUGCACAACGUAUAUUAUUUUGUUCCCGGAAAAAAUACAAGAGCACCAUAGACCACUCUAGCUACAGGGGCAAGAUCGUGUGUCCAUGCUUGAAAUUGUCCUCAUACUACUAGACGUAGAUAAGUAGUAAUCUCUAAAGAUAGCCGCUACGCGGAGAAACAAAUCAAAGCCUCUGGUGACAAAUCCGUAAUCACACAAAGCUUAGACAUCAAGAAUUGACGUCCUCAGCUCAGCAGAGAUGGUCUAGGGCAAAAGAGCUAGUGUAGAAUUUGUUGAGGCUGGUGAGAUUACUUUUCAGAUGAUUUGCAAACCUGUACUUACUUUCCGCGGGUAGAAUUCUGUCCUUAACUAGAUCAAUGGGAAUCUAUGUUGUUUGACCUGCUCGCAAUUCCUGCGUUUUACUGUAUAUUCUAAUUUCUAGCUGAUAAGUUGCUACUCAAGAAGAGAUUUACGUAUUCCAGAAAGUCAAGUUUUGGCAAGUAUAGCAGUUGAAGGAGUCCAAAUUUUCGUCACUGCAAAACAAUACUAGUACACACAAGAAGUACCGCCUUACUUUUUUAAAACAAUACUAGUACAAGGAACACAAGUACCGCCUUGGUUGGUAUAAAAAUCUUCUGAGUUUGCUCAGACAAUAAGCACAUAGAAUCAGUAGUGUUCUAGAAAUCAAACAAACAUUAACACAACUCAUUAUUGUUUAUUUUGGUUCGACUCCUAAUUCUUGCUCAAUUACUACAAGACUGAGGAAACCUUUUUCAAGAGUGAGGUAAAAGAAAAGUGGGAAGAGAAGACAAAAGAAUAAUCAAGCCUAAUAAAGCACUCACAGGUUGUCCUCUUUUUGAUUAGCUAGGAUUGAAAAGCUGAGAACUCAAGGUUCCUGACACACAACUGUCGACAGGUGCAAACCGAAAGAAAUUGUAGCCAAAACUGAAGAGAUAAAAUCAAUUUGUUUGUUGUAUUAUGACAUGCAUAUUUGAAUUUACAAGCUGUAUAAGAGUUGCCUUUAUAUGCCCCAUCAUUACAAAUCUCUGCAGAAAAACAAAAAUAAAAGAAGGUACACACUCAAGUAGCACAACCACAGGCGCAUUUAAUUUGAAACCCAAAAAGAAAAAAAGAGGAUACAUCAAUUCAAGCGCGGCAUAAUUUACUAAGGUAGGGUCAUCCAAAGUUUCCAUGUACACAAACAGUUUGUCUCCCUUGCUGGUGUCUUAUUUCCCAUGCCAGUUCCUCAACAUUUUAAUGGAAUUGGAUUAUCAGAUUCCCUUUGGCACCAAUCUCUUCAUCUUCCCUUAUUUUCUGUUUCUUUCUUAUACUCAGGCUCUCGGUCAUAUAUUGAAAUCUAACUAAAAAUUGAAAGAACCAAAACAAAACUGCAAAAAAAAAAAAAAUUUCAACCACUUGAUUACAAGAUAAAGAUGAACUUGCUUCUAUGAUUUAAUUUGUUUGGUCAUACCAGGGAACAGGCUGUUAUGACAGGUGAAUAAGCUACCUUAUUCAGCUUUCUGAUUAGUUAUCACAAAUUGAUCAAGCUGACCUCAAACUAUAGAUUAGCCAGGUACAUUCUUGCUAUUGUGAUGGUCAUGAAUCUUUAUUGAUCAAGAAAUAAGCGAGUGCACAGGAAUCAAACAAUCCCUACUUACAUCAAUCCUAUCACUAUUACAGUGCACAAACUCAAUCUUGCUGGAAACACACAUGAGAUAAUCCGACCUCCAUACUUAGCUCCCAAUUGGCCUUGGUCACUGAGACUCCUCUCCAACUCACAACAGUAUUCCUAACUGAUUCAAGGACCAUAGAUGGUGGUCAUGAACUUACAUAAACGUUGGUCAUAAUUCGUCAAAAUGAGCUGGUCCCAAUUUAGUUUCUAGGUUUUCCUUCUAGGUUUCUUCUGGGUGGGAGGGGAGAAUGCGACUCAACAGUAAAUCACAAACCAAAAAUUUUUUUAAAAAAAGGGAAAAAAAAGAUACUAUAUGCAUAAAAUAUGCAAGCAAUGAGAGAGGAAAAACAUCUUUAUAAUCACUUGGUCAGUUAACGGAACGGUUCAAGCCUGCAAGGGACAUCACGAAAAACUGGAAUGAAUAGAGAAAGUGCCAAAGCCAGUACAUGCUAGGAGUUGUCAUUCAAAGCCAUAGUCCAUAGAGUUUGUGAAAUUGUCAUCGAGCCCAAGCCUGAGGUUACUGCUAGUCUCUAGACAAAUAUUAAGAUGGAGAGUUACUCAGGAGGGUUAAUCGCAUUCAUCAGUUGGUGUUGCAGCGCCAAUGUAUCUAUACUUUUCCGAUCAUCAGUAACCUGCAAGGUUCAAUUUAUUCAAAAAGGUAAAUCAUCGUUGAGAAUUUGGGAGAAAAAAUGAUAUAUAAAAGCCCAAAACAUGGAAUUUUUGGUACCUCCGCCAGAAUCUUAUGGACUUUGAUCUCAUUAGUUGCUGUGGAAACACAGCUCACAACAUCGAGCCCUUCACCAAGCAACAUUUUCAGCACUCUCGAAAUGGGGAAAGUUUCCUCCUUAGAACUAAUGGAGAUCAAAACCUCCACCCCAUCGCCGCCUUGGCUCACCCUCACAAUCGCACCACAAUCACGCAAACACCGACUAUCGGCACUUGUGCUUCGAUUCCCAGAGCUAAAAGUAGAACUCAAAUUACAAGGCGGGAUCAUGAGCCUGUCUCUCCGUGACCCCAGUUGGUUGAUGUUUUUCUGCAGACAUUUUAUGUAAUUCACGGCCUCCUGCAUGUGAUCGGAUAUCGCCCGCUUUCCCUGCAAUUGAUUUUUAACACCCUUAGCUCCAUAAUAGUUUCAAGAAGUCAUCACAUAAUACUGUGUGUGUAAAUUGGUAUGAGAGUGAAUGCCUUCUUUCUGCUGUACUGAGAGAGAGAAAUUUGACAAAGAUUGAUAAUGAUCAAUUAGUCGGCGCUAUGCAGUACUGACACUAGAUCAAAGACGCAUAUCCAUGCAAUAUUCUUUAUGCAAAAACUAAUAAUCCAAAAUCAUGGGGAAAGGAGUACAAGGGCGCUCCUCUGUGGUGGGUCGGGCUCUUGAUAGUAUUUAGUAUGUACCUUAACAUAGUCAAGGGGUAGGAGGGAUCGAAGGGAAGCAUAGAGGUUGGCCAUUUCUCGCCUUCUCUGGCGUUCGAUGUCUCUAUGAAGAAUUCUCUUGAGCUUGUGCUGGUUACUAUUAGUGGUAGUAGUAUCCUCAUGAUCUUGUUUUUUGUUUUCUUGCUGAAUUGCCGGGAGGAAUCUCCGGUGGUGGUGCUUCUUUCCGGUGAUAUUGGUGGCUGGAGGCAGACUGGCAGUACUCUCAAGGGUGACCAGAUCGUUAAGGAUUUUGUCCGGUUGGCAGGGUAUGCAAGGGUUUUGGUUUUCCAGCUCAUUGCCUUGUUGUAAAGGAUACAUAUCUAAUCCCCGAAGAUUAGCCCAAUCUUGGGUUCAUUCCCCGCGCGAUUGAUUAAACUCACUCACUCACUCCCUCUCUCUCUCUCUCUCUGUAUAAUAGUGGGCAUUUGAUUUGGAAAAAAGCAGACGAGAUACGUUAGUUAAGCAGACGAGAUCUUCAAUGGCCCUCAGAUGCAAUAAGUAGUAAUCUCUGCAACUAAUAUCUGUCUUCGCUUCAUAAACAAGGCGAUGCAAGAAUCCUUAAGACUCAAUUAAGCAGCGCAAUCUUUGUUUAUUCAUGAAUUAGGUAUAGCACCCCAUUUCUCUUCUUAUUUUAAGUCCGAUGUUCAGUCACUUGGUUAUUGUACAAAUGUAGGACCAAGAACCCCACUAACAUGUUCACACCAGGUCGUUGAUAGAGGACUAAUGGUAUGGAUAUGGACCAUCCUAUUACAUGAGCUAGGAGGGGGGCAAUAGAUGACUGAUCGAUUUACUGUAAGUAGUAUGUUCCUUUAAUCACCUAACAAGAAGGGUAAGUUUCAUCCGUUUAACACGUUGUAAUAAUUUGUGAUUUUUAUGUCGGAAGAUAACUGUGGACUGUGGAGGCAGAAACCAGUGCCAAUUCCUAGUGUUUUUUUUUUAAAUUAUUUUAGGGCCAAGUUAUAGCGUGUUUAUAUCAGAUGUACGUACUGGAAUCAAUCCAUCAUUUUGCAUGGUUGUAGGUUGUGAAUGGCUAACAAAUUAUAUAUUCCAGACAAAAUGUAUUUAGUUUCUCAACUUGAGGACUAAAAUUGAAUUGAUUAUCUCCAAAACCCAACUCAAGUAGUAAAAAAUAUUAAUAUUAGUCAGUGAUCAUUGGAUCGACUCUUCAAGUUCUCCUCCAUUUUUCUUUUUUAUGAGACCAGGAAAAAAAUUGAACUAACCAUCUAAUUUAGGAUUGGGAGAGGCUAAUUUAAGCUAUGCUGUUCUGAAUGUACACUCAAUGUUCUCAAAGUCUGUCCGGACUAUUUGGUCGAAUCAGUUAAACCGUCGACCGAGUUAUUUUUUGAAUUACGUUAAGGCUCGAAUAAAAGAAGUGGUCUAUUAGGUUUAAACCAGUUAGUUUGUCCGGUUGAUCUAAAGGAUCAUUCAACCAGAACGGUUCUUUUGAACUGUCCGGGUCUUGCUUUCCCUUUGACUGGAGCCGUCCCUACUGCCGACAUCAUCUGACAAAACACAACAUGCAACGUACUUGACUUUUGCUAUUUAAUCCUCGUAGUUUCUUUUACAUUUCAAAUCCACCCUAUAGUUGCAGAAUACUAAAUUUUGUGUCACUUUACUUUUGAAAAAUUACAAUUUAGCUUUAAAUUGUUCAAAAUUUUCAAAACUUCUUAUUAAAAUUCAUAUUUUUAUCCAAUAAACCAUGAUUAAAUUAAAACAUCUAGAUUGUAUCUUAGUUUUAUAUGACUUCCCAAGUUUUUUUAUUUUUAUGGAAUCAAAAGUUCAUGUUUUAUCAAAGUUAUUUUUUCUUUUUCUUUAUAUAUUGCCUAUAUUUGGCGCAAUUUAAUUUUCUUCUUUGCUUUUAGAUGCAUUGAGGUUGUAAAAAUAGAUUUAUUCAAUUUAUAUUGCAUUAUUAUUUCAACUUUUAAGUUAUUUUCAUCAACCAAAGUAUUUUAGCACCAUCCAUUAAUAUUCAAUUAAGUGUGAAUUUAGAAAAGCCAUUUUAGUGGUCCAUAUAAUACAAAGUGAUACAUUAUUUAUGGCACAUUUAUAAUGUUAUAGAUUAACAACGACUCAAUAACAAUUAAGUUGACAGUUGAAUCAGUCAUUCUUGAUCCAUUAAGAUUUUCAAUUUAAUGAACGAGUUAGGUGUUGAAAUCUUGUGCGUACAUUGUUUUAGUUUCAAUACAAAGGGUGCAAGUGAGCAACGAGCAAAUGUCCAAAUUUAGAAUGAAGGGUGCGGAACUCCAUUCAUUUUCAACCUGUGCGUUGUCUUCUUGUUGAUUUUUCAGCUUUCCUGGUUGGCAGAUUUUUAGACAUUCAAAUUGAAGACGAAUGACUCCAAGGCAUGACUUCUGCAUAUGGAAAAUGUCAUGGUACUGUGCCUAAUUGUGGACAGAUCCAGUUCUACGAACCACAACAAUGAAUGGCAUUUACAUUUACUAUGAGCUCGAGUCUUUUCUAAUUCUUGUAUUUAUAUUUUGCAUUCUGAUUUUUUUUGUCAUGAGGCAACGCUUGAUGCCUUCAAUUCGGACAUUGAAAUACUAACAAUAACAGUUCACUUAGCAAAGAAAAUAAUUACAUUUGCAUUGUGAUUUCCAGCAGAAAAAUUAUUACUUUUUUUAUGAACAUUUUUUUUUAUCUCACAUACAUUUAAUCGUUAUAAUAUAUUUUCCUAUAAAAAUUGGUAAAAAUAGCAAUAUAAAUUGACAGAAAAAGGAAUAUAAAUUGCUUUCGUUUGGUUUGGACAUCAUGCCACCAAAAAAAAAAACUUGGUUUAGACUAUUCUUGUCCACGUAAUUAAUCCUGUAAUAUCAACUACUACGUGAUUAGUCAUCCUUCUCUAAAGCCAUACGACAGCUCUUGUUGCUGCCACUUGUAGCAUCUGUUAUCCCCUCCUUUAUUGCAAGAAAGUAGUUGUAUUAAUCAAAUAUUAUCGCACGAACCAUAUAUUUGGCCAAAUAAUUGGCUGUCCAAAUAAUUGGUGAUUAAUUUGUCUAUCGCACGAACCAUAUUUAUAUAUCAAUUCUCCAGUACUAGCGCUCCUAUUAGCACUCCAAGGUGAAUAUAUACAUACAUACAUAUAUAUAUAUAUAUAUUUACAGAAAAGGACAUUCGGGAUAUUAUAUAUGUGGGUCAGGCACCCGAUAUGAAAUUGCCGGGCGAUUUCCUUUUUUUUUGAAAGCAUUAUAAUACACUAUUAAGGAAAUAAUCAGUGACGCAGAGAAUGAGAUCAUCAGUGAUCGGACUGCCGUCAACUUUGCAUUGGAAAUGAUGAUUGCAGUGGUAAUUCCACGCAGCACAGAGUGAGAUAAAGUUCUGCCUAUCCUAUGAUAGUUUAAUCUCUUUCGAAUUAUUUUGGACCUUCUUAGAUCCGCAACCCUUCACUAUGCUCUGUUUUGAUCUAGAAGUUUUUUAAAAAUUAUAAAAAAUUUUAAAAAGUAUUAUAAAAGGUAUCCUAAAAAAUAGUCUAAAAUUUUUUUAAUAUUUAAAAAAUAUCUCAAAAUAUAUUUUAAAAACUCUACUACUCUUAAAUAUUUCAAAAUAUUUUUUAAAAAUAUCCUAAAAUAUACUCUAAAAACGCUGCUACAGUAAAAAUUUUUAAAAAAUACCCCAAAAAAUAGCUAAUCCAAAUGGAUCCUAGAUUAUACAACAAUUAUCGUCUCUAAAAAAAAAAUAAAAGAGAUAAAGUGAGUGCAGUGGUAUUUCAUCCAUCAAAACCUUCGCGUUGGUGGGCUUUGUCAUGAUAUCUCAAAUUAAGUACUCGCUAUGAAGGGGAGAUUAUACGGUCUCGUUUAUGUAACACGUCAAACUUAUAAGUUGAUUCGCAGACCCUUUUGCCAAAAAUUUGUAAACGAAAAAAUUUUACUCCUCUGUUCCAUUUUAAUAGUUCUAAUUUUUUUAAUUUAAUUUAAAAAAAAGUAAUUAACUUUAUUAGAAAAACAAAUUUAGAUUGUUAUUUUCCUAAAAUACCCUUACAUUAAAUAAAGUUGGCUUUUCAUAUAUCAAUAUGUUUUGAAAAAUCUAAAUACAUUAAAUGGGUUAGGUUAUAUUCAAUACUAACAAUCUCUAUUAAAUAAGAUAGUUUAUAACAAUAACAACUUACAUUAAAUAAGGGUAUUUUAGAGAAAUUAAAAGCCAACUACAUUUUUUAAUUAGAAAGUUGACUACAAUUUGGAACAGACGAAAAAGAAAAACAAAACUAUCAAAGUGGGAUGGAGGGAGUAUAAAAAGCAAAUAUUCGUAAUACUUCUCCAUAGUUUCCUCUUUUUUUUUUCUUUUUUUUUUUGAAGAGCUCAAUAGUUUCCUCAAGUUUCUCUCUGAUAGGGUUGCCUAUACCCCGUACCUAUAUAUACAGUUUAGAACAAUAAAAGUAGGCUUUACUAUAAUUAAAGAGAGAGAGAGAGAGAGAGAGAUCGCCUGGCAUUGCAUAAAGAUGAAAGAAAGUAAUGGGCCUCAUUGUAUGUUUCCCAGCUGCCUCUUUAUUGGAUGCAUGAAUUGAAGAAAUCGGGGCAUGAUUGAGGCCCCGGGAGACAGUGAAUACAAUAAUCCGCCUGUAUCUGUCAUACAUGCAGACUAGUGAUGGGUUGGUUUUCUUCUUCAUGAAUUAUUGGAAACAGAUGUUACUACGCUGUCUGUCUAUAAUUACCGCACCAGUUGUGCAAUUUUUUUCCCAACCUUCUGUGUUUGGAGGGAAGUCUAAAUAGAGUUGUAUGAAGAAUAGGAAACAAAUCAUUAGACCAGAUAAGUGUAUUAUUACACUUUUUGAAUUUUUUAAGAAUAUAUAAUACACUACGCAAUCUCCAAUUUAGUGUAUCGAGAGAGUUUUAUAGCAAUUCAAAAUAUUGAUAUUACAAUUUGGUUUCUUGCCCAUGCACACCAUUCAAUGAUUCAUAUAUCAUGCUUGGUCAGCAUUAUAUAUAUAUAUAUACAUAUAUUAUCAUAUGGCAACAAGUUGUGAAGGUAACCUACGUGCUUGUGUGGAAGGGACUGUUGGACCCUUGGGAAGGGACCGUUGGAGUCACAAAAGUUUUGGCAAUAGGAAGACGACACGUCAUCGGGUGCUGCUGACAAAUCUUAUCAACUCUCUUUGUGAGAAAUGGCUCCUAGUACUAUUAUGGACUUUUUUUAAAUAAUUAAGCGAGAUAACAAAUUGAUUUUGUAUGUGGUUCAACUUCAACCAAAACCACCGCGAACGAAACCGAAAGCGUUGAAGGAAGCUGGUUCCAGGCUGUCCCUUUCUGGAAAGGAGGGAAUAAUUAGAGGAGAGAGAGAGAGAGAGGCAUAUAUAGCAUUCCAAUUUCGAUUGAUUACUAUGGCUUUUAAGUGCGUUUGGUCCAAUGGCAGAUUCUAAGAGAAAUCUUUGAAAAUCCCAAAAAGGUUGCCUUCGAGAAAGCUGUUGGGCAGCAUUCAGCUAUUUAGCGGCAGAGAGAGAGAGAGAGGAGAAGAGACCGAAUUCUUCUCUUCUUUUUUUUUUUUGGUUAAACUUUGAACAGGGUCCUCAUGGACCAUGGUGUUGUCCAUCACAGUAGGGUUAUAAGCAAGGUCAAUGGGAACGACUAGCAGUCACUAGACCAGGAAGAAAACAUGCAUAUGACUAGUGUUAGGUUCUAACCAAUUAAUUCGUUUAAGUUGAAUGCACUGAUCUAAUGAUCAGGAAGGAAGUGCCAUUUAAAACUCUUUUGUGCGUUAGAUCAAGGAUUUAAACCCUGUCUAAUGCAUUACAAGGGAGCAUAAUUCUCCUUUGCUCUUAAAAAAUUCAAAGCGUGCAAUAGUGUUUUUAUCCGAUCUGGUGAUUCACCCUCGAACUCCUGUACAAAUAAUUUUAGGUUCCCCUAUCUAUAAUGUAGGUUAAUAUAAGAGUAGAAUAGAUGCUGUCAUUGCGGAAAAAAAAAUCAUUUAGGUUGAAUGCGAGGCAAAUGCACGCUAAAGAAAUAUAUACAGGAGCAGUAACAUUAUUGUGUAGGAAUUAGGAUUUCAGAUGCUGAUCCAUUUUGUAAGAUUUUUUUUUUUUUAAGAAAAAGAAGAGGUAGGUAUUUUUUAGGGAGCACACUUCGAAUCAGGUAAACGUCUAAUAGAUAGAAGGAUUAUCUAACUAAAAUUUCAACGCCAAGGACAGUUAUGUGAUGAGUCGACCGAAAUAAGGAGUGCGAAAUACUUGAAGUUCUCAAUGGUUAAAAAUCUGAAGAUUUUACGUUUUAGAUUAAAGUGUUUCAGAAGCCACAAAUAAUACUAGUAAUUAGGCAACCGGCAGCAGCUUCAUUCAGUAAUCUUAUUGUCAAAAAAUUAUGACCGUCGCAGCUAUUGUUUAGUAAUUGUAUUCCGUCGGCAGCCGCAGCAAUGGCCGACUGCCGCACCACAAACAGUAGCGUUAUUCCGUAUUUCCCCCCCACAUCCACAUGCAUAUUUUGUUGACCCCUUAUAUUAUUCUUGUCUUUUUCAUGAAAACUAGUACCACUGCGUUACGUUCCACAAAUAUGAUUCCACCACCUGCCGUCGUUGAGCUUUUCUCCUCCUAACUGUGAAGAUUUUCGUCUCCAGCGAGAUUUGAACAUCAUCAUCAUCUUGAAAAAGUAAUUGUGAACGUGCAGAAACCAACGAUGCACUGCUGACUGAUUGGGACGCCAACAAAACAACAAUGAGUAAUUAACCAACGCAACGUGGAGAAAACUACACCGCAGAUGGGCUUCCAUGGUUCGUUCUAUCUAUCCCUUUCAUCACGAAGAUUGCAGCCACUACUUUACUACACCAUUUGCACCACGUGGAGAUGGAAAAGCACACAAUUAUUAAGGUCAAUCGCCAUUCUCCUACUAUUUGGGCAUGCUGUUUAUCUCCCCGGCAAAGCUUGCGAAUUACCCCGAGUCUGGUCCCCUUGGAAGUGGAGCAUGCCACCGGACGCCAAAGCAGACUCUUUCCAACAAAUAGUUAAGAAAAUCGCUACUAAGGGGUACCCACUAAGUAACUACAUCCAGGCAAUUGCUGAUUGGACAGGCACUCAAUAGACCUUAUACACUCUCACUCGACUACUUCCUAGACCGAUGUGAAAGAAAGAAAGGGGGAGGGAAAACACUCGACAAACUAGCGGCCAGCUAUUACCACCUCGCCAUGACUCUUGCUUCUUUUCAACAAAUAGUUAAGAAAUCGCUAAUAAGGGAGACCCACUAAGUAACCACAUCCAGGCACUUGCUGACUGGACAGACACUCAAUGGAGCUUGUACACUCUCACUCGACUACUUCCUAGACCGAUGUGGGAGAAAGGGGAAGGGGAGAAACGCCAAAGCAGACUCACUCUUCAGACCAUCUUCCUACUCCUAUAGUAGUACCUGUGUGCGCGCAUGUACACAAUUUUUAUACAAGUUAAUUUUAUACACGCUAGCUAACAGAGUAUAUAUUUAAGUUCGAUUCAGAUUACUUGUUGUCAUAAAGUCAAUGAUAAUAUAUAGACCGUAAAUCUUUUUGAUCAUUUCAAUAUAUAAUAUCUUAAAUAUAUAAAAGGGGGAAGGGGGAAUAGCUACAGUGCAGCCAUGGGCCAGUUUCGAUGGUAAUUCUGAUGACUUUGUGGGGUGUCUUGGUCUUUCCAUCAACAAAAUCCUCCCAAUCACACAACAAAAAUCCAUCACCCCCAACACAGGCUAAGCGCAGGGCCCAAAAACUAGUCUUAUAUAAAACGUGGGGACUGAAUUAAACAAAAAAGAAAUGUGGUCUUCCCAGCUGCUGAUUGGCCAAGAAGGUUGCUCCACGACACUCGGGGCCAUUCACCGCUAUUGCCGGCGUUCUUAACAUGCUGGUUUUGGUUCCUCACCAGUCUGUAGGCCUUAUCUUUGUUCUUAACCAAGACAUAGCGAGAUAUUGUCGCCUGCCUCAUUUUUCUGAAACCCCAACUGUAGUUUUCACAAUCCAAUUACCUCCUCAUUGCAACUCGAUACACCUAGGAAUCAGAUGAGCACUCUCAUAGUGAACAAGGUUUUUGAAUCCAAACUGAGUUUUGUCAUCCUCUUCUGGACUACAAAGCGAUUUAACUCACUUUUUACGUGGGCAAGGAAUUUGGAAAAUGGUCUAAGUUCAAAACAAAAACACUUGGCGUCAAUCCGCCAGAUCAGAUUCAGAGCAAUAUGCAUCCCCAGUUAUCCAAUAAUAUGUAACCGAUAACAAGCCGCAAGAUCUUUUCCUAUGGAUUCAUAAAGACAGAGUAUCUGUACAAGCAAUAAAAAUGCAGAAGAGGAGAUCCUUUACAAGCCAAUUCAAUGUCAGCUUGUUUAAACCGGGCUGAAAUCAUGAGAACAUUCUUACAUGUAAGUUUCAUUCUCCAACCGGGCUGAGAUGAACAAAGAUCCAUCAAUCAGAAAUCAAUUUGGUAACGAGCAUUUCGCAUCCCUGUGAAUCAAUAUGAACUGCCACAAUUUUUUCCCUGCCCAUAAUAUAAAGCAAAUCAUUCUAUACACACCUGGAUAGCCAAAGUUAAGGAUGUAGUUGGUGCAAAAUUUUGAAAGAAAUUAUAUUUAGCAGCAUAUGAACUCAGUAAAUAUACCGAGUCCAGUUGAACAACUGAUAGCUGAUCAAGAUAAUAAACAAGACUGAGCUAGAAGCCACAUGAUCAAGCACAGAUACCGUAUGCCUGGACUCCAGCAAACUUCUUACCACGGACAUAUAAUGUCUGUUAUUUCAAACAAAUCAUAGGCUUAUAUGCAAUAAAACAAGGGCAAGUGAAUAACAAACAUAGUGCUGCUAUUGUUUUCCGGAUACAGUAAAGCAGAUUUUUGAGAAGUGAUUCUUCCCAACUUAAUAGAUUUUCUUAAUUAAGUAAAGCUACUGCCCCCUCCUCCCCCCACCCCAAAAAGGAAAACCCAAAAAAGACCCUCUUUUCUCCAAAUGAUUGUCAUCCUGAUUGCAGAUAGCUUUUGCAGUUGCUUCCUCCCAGUUCAUUCCUAAAAUCUGACAGGUUUGACCCCACUUUAAAUUGCUUUUACGCUGAAAGUUCACGUUUUUUAAAAUAACAGUCAAGAAGUUUCAGGUAAAAACCAUUCAAAACAUUCAAAUCGAUUGAUGAACUUCAUCAACCAACAAAAUAUUCUUGGAAAGACAAAGUUCUCCUUCACGUCAGUCAUGUUCUAGCAGCCUGACAUGUACACAAUUGACACAGUAUAACCAUGGGAGACUGCAAAAAAUUCAAAAUGGAAGUACAGAAUGGUAUCGUUUAAAUUUUAGAAUUUGAAAAAAAGAAGAAGAAGAAGAAAAGAAAGACAUGGAGAGAAGAUAUACACGGUUUGGUUUUUCAUUUUAUUGUAGCUGCAGAGCAUUUGACCUAUGGUAACCUUCCCUUGAUAAAUACGAGAUCAACCGGAUAUGUACAAAUGAUAACAACAACAAUAAGAAGCACAAGAAUUUAGGUAUCAUGUUAAAUUUAUUAUGCUACCCUAAGGGAUAGUGCUAGGUUGAGAGGCAAGGACCAUAUAUCUAGAGGUUGUCACUUGCAGACAGCAAAAAUGAGAUCUUAACUCAAUAUUGGAUAACAACAACAAUAAGAAGCACAAGAAUUUAGGUAUCAUGUUAAAUUUAUUAUGCUACCCUAAGGGAUAGUGCUAGGUUGAGAGGCAAGGACCAUAUAUCUAGAGGUAGUCACUUGCAGACAGCAAAAAUGAGAUCUUAACUCAAUAUUGGAUAACAACAACAAUAAGAAGCACAAGAAUUUAGGUAUCAUGUUAAAUUUAUUAUGCUACCCUAAGGGAUAAUGCUAGGUUGAGAGGCAAGGACCAUAUAUCUAGAGGUUGUCACUUGCAGACAGCAAAAAUGAGAUCUUAACUCAAUAUUGGUUACUGUCAGGUCAUGCAGAAACAGAUGGUAAUUCCAAAAAUGGAUAUCACAAGAAAGAUUACUGAAUUUAGAAUACAUCUAAUGCAACAUGAAGAAUUGAUGAGGUAAUACAGAAGUACCUUACAUUCAAAACUGUCAGGUUGUCACUUGCAGACAGCAAAAAUGAGAUCUUAACUCAAUAUUGGAUAACAACAACAAUAAGAAGCACAAGAAUUUAGGUAUCAUGUUAAAUUUAUUAUGCUACCCUAAGGGAUAGUGCUAGGUUGAGAGGCAAGGACCAUAUAUCUAGAGGUAGUCACUUGCAGACAGCAAAAAUGAGAUCUUAACUCAAUAUUGGAUAACAACAACAAUAAGAAGCACAAGAAUUUAGGUAUCAUGUUAAAUUUAUUAUGCUACCCUAAGGGAUAAUGCUAGGUUGAGAGGCAAGGACCAUAUAUCUAGAGGUUGUCACUUGCAGACAGCAAAAAUGAGAUCUUAACUCAAUAUUGGUUACUGUCAGGUCAUGCAGAAACAGAUGGUAAUUCCAAAAAUGGAUAUCACAAGAAAGAUUACUGAAUUUAGAAUACAUCUAAUGCAACAUGAAGAAUUGAUGAGGUAAUACAGAAGUACCUUACAUUCAAAACUGAAGGCGCGCCUGCAACUGGAUGCUGUUUGUACACAACGAAUAUCCUGAAGACAAAAAUUCACUGUACCUGAGUCAGCAGCCAAUGAUGACGAAUUAAGAUAUUCUCCCCCAUCUUAGAAAAAGGAUUAUCUGCAGAACCUAUCCAGAUUUCUUCAGUGCUCUGUCUGUUAUGUAACACCAUUCGAGCUUUCAAGUAUGAUUAUCGUGAGCACCAUAUUAAAGCACUCAGAAGCUCUGAAGAGCCUCUCUAACAGUUAUAUAUGAGGAUGCUGAUGAUUAAUCCAGGCAAAACCCAAGCAAUACACAUGAAGGAAAAACGUGCAGCCCAAAGACCUUAUGCAAUAGUGUAAAAGCAUGUCAUUUGGGUUGUGCUCGCAUUACUGCAUCAGACUGGAAUUUUCAAAUCAUUUUACCCCCCUGAAAUGGAGGGUUUGACAUGAAUUGUUUCUCAUGAAAGAUGGAGAAACUCAACCUGCAUCCCUGUUGUUAUUAAUUAGCAUUGUGCAACAAACACCUGGCGAUCCUGAACAUGAUAUGUUAAGUUGAAAUGAGUCAAUGCCUCUCAAUGAAAAACAAAUUUAGAAGCUAUAAAUGUAUUGUACAAGAUUGUUAGAUCAAGAAGAAAUCUUCUCAUCGGGUGAAUUCCCAUCUUUUUCCCUCACAUAUUACAUGAGCAGGAACAAUUUCCCAGAAAAGAAUAUGGCUUUCGCCAAAAUUUGCUAUCAAACACAGAACUCAUUGGUCCCUUUUGCGGGACUUAUAAGGAAACCGGGAGGGAGGUGAAGGCGAAAAUUCUAUUGGAAGUUUUGGGGAUUCCAAGUCUCCUGAGAGCACUCCAACCACCUCUUUC
rnacentral:lncRNA from 1 species